rnacentral:tRNA from 1 species
GGACGCUUAGCUCAGCUGGUUAGAGUAUCUCGUUUACACCGAGAGGGUCGAAGGUUCGAAUCCUUCAGCGUCCACCA